AAUCAACGCUGGCGGCGUGCCUCAGACAUGCAAGUCGAACGAUUAAGACUUCCUUCGGGAAGUGCAUAAAGUGGCGCACGGGUGAGUAACACGUAAGUAAUCUACCCUCGAGUGGGGAAUAACGUUCGGAAACGGACGCUAAUACCGCAUAACGCAGCGGCACCGCAAGGUGACAGUUGUUAAAGGAGCAAUCCGCUUGAGGAGGAGCUUGCGGCAGAUUAGCUAGUUGGUAAGGUAAUGGCUUACCAAGGCUACGAUCUGUAUCCGGUCUAAGAGGACGGUCGGACACACUGACACUGAAUAACGGGUCAGACUCCUACGGGAGGCAGCAGUCGGGAAUUUUGGGCAAUGGGCGAAAGCCUGACCCAGCAACGCCGCGUGAAGGAUGAAGUAUUUCGGUAUGUAAACUUCGAAAGAAUAGGAAGAAUAAAUGACGGUACUAUUUAUAAGGUCCGGCUAACUA
rnacentral:rRNA from 1 species